rnacentral:misc_RNA from 1 species
GAUGAAGAACGCAGUGAAAUGCGAUAAUUAAUGUGAAUUGCAGAAUUCAGUGAAUCAUCGAGUCCUUGAACGCACAUUGCGCCCCCUGGUAUUCCGGGGGGCAUGCCUGUCCGAGCGUCAUUGCUGCCCUCAAGCACGGCUUGUGUGUUGGGCUUCCGUCCCUGGCAACGGGGACGGGCCCAAAAGGCAGUGGCGGCACCAUGUCUGGUCCUCGAGCGUAUGGGGCUUUGUCACCCGCUCCCGUAGGUCCAGCUGGCAGCUAGCCUCGCAACCAAUCUUUUUAACCAGGUUGACCUCGGAUCAGGUAGGGAUACCCGCUGAACUUAAGCAUAUCAAUAAGCGGAGGA